rnacentral:pre_miRNA from 1 species
UUUCUACUCCCUCCGUCUGAAAAUACUUGUCAUCAAAAUGGAUAAAAAGAGAUGUAUCUAAAACUAAAAUACGUCUAGAUACAUUUCCUUUUAUCCAUUUUGAUGACAAGUAUUUCCGGAUGGAGGGAGUAUUUG